rnacentral:rRNA from 1 species
CCUACGGGUGGCAGCAGUAGGGAAUCUUCCACAAUGGACGAAAGUCUGAUGGAGCAACGCCGCGUGAGUGAAGAAGGGUUUCGGCUCGUAAAGCUCUGUUGGUAGUGAAGGAAGAUAGAGGUAGUAACUGGCCUUUAUUUGACGGUAAUUACUUAGAAAGUCACGGCUAACUACGUGCCAGCAGCCGCGGUAAUACGUAGGUGGCAAGCGUUGUCCGGAUUUAUUGGGCGGAAAGCGAGUGCGGGCGGUCCAAUAAGUCUGAUGUGAAAGCCUUGGGCCCAACCGGAGAUGUGCAUCAGAAACUGUUGACCUUGAUUGCAGGAGGGGAGAGUGGAACUCCAUGUGUAGCGGUGGAAUGCGUAGAUAUAUGGAAGAACACCGGUCGCGAAGGCGGCCCUCUGGUCUGCAACUGACGCUGAGGCUCGAAAGCAUGGGUAGCGAACAGGAUUAGAUACCCCUGUAGUC